AUUGAACGCUGGCGACAUGCCUUACACAUGCAAGUCGAACGGCAGCACGGGUGCUUGCACCUGGUGGCGAGUGGCGAACGGGUGAGUAAUACAUCGGAACAUGUCCUGUAGUGGGGGAUAGCCCGGCGAAAGCCGGAUUAAUACCGCAUACGAUCUACGGAUGAAAGCGGGGGACCUUCGGGCCUCGCGCUAUAGGGUUGGCCGAUGGCUGAUUAGCUAGUUGGUGGGGUAAAGGCCUACCAAGGCGACGAUCAGUAGCUGGUCUGAGAGGACGACCGGCCACACUGGGACUGAGACACGGCCCAGACUCCUACGGGAGGCAGCAGUGGGGAAUUUUGGACAAUGGGCGAAAGCCUGAUCCAGCAAUGCCGCGUGUGUGAAGAAGGCCUUCGGGUUGUAAAGCACUUUUGUCCGGAAAGAAAUCCUUGGCCCUAAUACGGUCGGGGGAUGACGGUACCGGAAGAAUAAGCACCGGCUAACUACGUG
rnacentral:rRNA from 1 species